AGCCUCGGGGAUGAGACACGCCAAAAUGCAAAUUUGGAGACGCACCCAGAAGGGUGCCGGGGCUU
rnacentral:tRNA from 1 species